rnacentral:sRNA from 1 species
GCCAGGUGCGGUGGCCCACACCUGUAAUCCCAGCACUUUGGGAGGCCGAGGUGGGUGGAUCACCUGAGGUCAGGAGUUUGAGACCAGCCUGGCCAACAUGGUGAAACCCCAUCUCUA